rnacentral:rRNA from 1 species
GAUGAACGCUGGCGGCGUGCCUAACACAUGCAAGUCGAGCGAAGCACUUACUUUAGCUUUCUUCGGAAUGACGAAGUUUGUGACUGAGCGGCGGACGGGUGAGUAACGCGUGGGCAACCUGCCCUGUACAGGGGGAUAACAGUUAGAAAUGACUGCUAAUACCGCAUAAGCCCACAGCUUCGCAUGAAGCAGUGGGAAAAACUCCGGUGGUACAGGAUGGGCCCGCGUCUGAUUAGCUAGUUGGUAAGGUAACGGCUUACCAAGGCGACGAUCAGUAGCCGACCUGAGAGGGUGACCGGCCACAUUGGGACUGAGACACGGCCCAAACUCCUACGGGAGGCAGCAGUGGGGAAUAUUGCACCAUGGGGGAAACCAUGAUGCAGAGACGCCGCGUGAGCGAAGAAGUAUUUCGGUAUGUAAAGCUCUAUAGGCAGGGAAGAAAGUGACGGUACCUGACGAAGAAGCCCCGGAUAACUACGUG